ensembl:snRNA U1 U1 spliceosomal RNA
AUACUUACCUGGCAGGGGAGAACCAUGAUCACGAAGGUGGUUUGUUUUCCCAGGGUGAGGCUUAUCCAUUGCACUCCGGAUGUGCUGACCCCUGCGAUUUCCCCAAAUGUGGGAAACUCGACUGCAUAAUUUGUAAUAGUGGGGGACUGCAUUCGUGCUUUCCCCUG